rnacentral:rRNA from 1 species
AAUAGAUACCCGGGUAGUCCUGGCCCUAAACGAUGUCUACUAGAUCGUGGCGGCACUGACGCCGUCAUGGUCGAAGCAAAAGUGUUAAGUAGACCGCCUGGGAAGUACGGUCGCAAGGCUAAAACUCAAAGAAAUUGACGGGGGCUCACACAAGCGGUGGAGCAUGUGGUUCAAUUCGAAGCAACGCGAAGAACCUUACCUGGGCUUGACAUGCUAGGAUUAUCUUGAUGAAAGUCGAGUAGGCCCCGCAAGGGGUACAACUAGUACAGGUGCUGCAUGGCUGUCGUCAGCUCGUGUCGUGAGAUGUCGGGUUAAGUCCCUUAACGAGCGAAACCUUUGCCCUUAGUUGCCAUCGGGUUAUGCCGGGCACUCUAAGGGGACUGCCGGUGUCAAACCGGAGGAAGGUGGAGAUGACGUCAAGUCCUCAUGGCCUUUAUGCCCAGGGCUACACACGUGCUACAAUGGCGUCCACAAAGCGAGCCGAGAGCGCAAGCUGGAGGAAAUCGCAGAAAUGACGCCCCAGUU